rnacentral:rRNA from 1 species
AAAACUUUUAAUAAUAGAUCUUUUGGUUCUAGUAUUAAUAAAGAAUAUAGCGAAAUACAAUAAGUAAUAUAAAUUGUAGAAUUUAGUAAAUUAUUGAAUUUUUAAACGUAUAUUAUAUUUAUUAAUAUUCUAGCGAAUAUAUUUAUUCGAAUGUUAUUUCAACUAUUAAAUUCUAUUUAUAUUAAGGAUCUACAACUAUCCGCAGUCCCUUAAAAUUAGUAGCGGGCUCGUUAAUUAUACUAAAUAUAGUAAUUCUAUAUUACUAUAGUCGUACAGCGGGUUUUUACUGUAAAACCCCCUAUUUCUAAGGUUGACCUCGGAUUAGGUAGGAAUACUCGCUGAAUUUAAACAUAUUAAUAAGUAGAGGAAAAGAAAUUAAUAGGGAUUGCCCUAAUAAUAGUAAAUAAAGCGGUAAUAAUUUAAAUUUAAAAUUUAGCUUUGAUUUAAAUUAUAAUUUAUAGAGGAAGCUUUUAGUGAAGCACCUUCUAAAUCCCCUAGAAUAGGGCGCUAUAGAGGGUGAGAGCCCUGUAUAGUUGGAUACCAAUUUAAUAUAAAACUCCUUUAAUAAAUUGAGUAAUUUAGAAAUAUUAUUUAAAAUAGGAGGUAAAUUUCUUCUAAAACUAAAUACUAACUAGAGAUUAAUAGCGUAUAAGUAGAGUAAUUAAAAGAUGAAAAGUACUUUGAAAAGAAAGUUAAAUAAUAUAUAAAAUUAUUGAAAAGGAAGUGUUUGUAAUUAGAUUUGCGCUGUUCUAAUUAUCUAGUAUUUUUAUUAGUAUAUUUAAGACGGUUUAAGCUAGUAUUAAUUUUAGCGGGGGGAUAAAAGUCUGGGGAACGUAGUUCCUUUAGGAGUAUUAUAACCCUGGGUGUAAUGCCUUUGCUGGGAUUAAGGUUUAUGUAUUUAUAAGGAUACUAGUAUAAUAGUUAUUAAUAACCUAUUUUAAAAUACGGACUAAGGAAUUAAGGUUUUGUACGAGUAUUUAGGUGUAAAAUCCGUACGUAUAAUAAAAGUGAAUAUAGGUGAGAACUUCGGCGUAUUAUUGACCGAUUUUGAUGUAUUCGGAUGGAUUUAAGUAAGAGUAUUAAGCUUUGGACUUAAAAGAUAGUAAAUUAUAUUUAGAUAGGGUAAAGCUAGAGGAAACUUUAAUAGAGGUUCGUAGCGGUUUUAAUGUAUAAAUUGAUUAUUAAAUUUAAGUAUAGGGGCGAAAGAUUAAUCGAACUAUUUAAUAGCUAGUUACUACCGAAGUUUCCCUUAGGAUAAUAGUAUUAUUCUUUAAUUUUAUAAAGUAAAGCGAAUAAUUAGGGAUUCGGGGGCGCUUUUUAGCCUUUAUCUAUUCUUAAACUUUAAAUAUAUAAGAAGCCCUUAUUAUUUAAUUGAAUAUAGGUAUUCGAAUAUACUAAUAUUAGUAGGCUAUUUUUGGUAAGUAGAAUUGGCGAUAUGGGAUAAACUAAACGUAGGGUUAAAGUAUUAGAGUAGAUAUUUAUUAAAUAUUAUAAAAGGCGUUAGUAUAUUUUAAUAGUAGGACGGUGACUAUAGAAGUCGGAAUCCGUUAAGGAUUAUAUAAUAAUUUACUUGCUGAAUAUAUUAGCCUUGAAAAUAAAUAGCGCUUAAACGUUCUACCUAUACCCUACCUUUAGGGUAAAAAUAAUACUUUAAGGAGUAAAUAGCUAUAGAGGUUAGUAACGAAGCUUAGGGCGUAAGCCCGGAUUGAAUAGCCUCUAGUAUAGAUUUUAGUAGUAGUAGUAAAUAUUUUAAUAAGAAUUUGAAGGACCGAAGUGGGGAAAGGUUUUAUAUAAAUAAUGGUUAGAUAUAGGUUAAUCGAUUUUAAAUUAUAGGGAAGUUUUAUUUUAAAGGGGUACUUGUACUUUGUAUAGCGAAAGGGAAGCCGGUUAAUAUUUUGGUACCUAGAUAUGGGUUUUAUAUAGUAAUGUAAUUAAAUGUAGAAACGAUAGUAGGGGCCCCGGGUAGAGUUCUCUUUUCUUUUUAAUAGUUUAUUACCCUAAAAAUAGUUUAUUUAGAGAUAGGGUUUAAUAAUUGGAAGAGUCUAAUACUUCUAUCGGGUUUAGUAUAUUCUCGAUAUUUUUUAAAAAUUUGCGGAAGGGAAUAAUUCUUACGUUAAGUUGUACUUAUAACCGUAGUAAGUUUCUAAAGUGAAUAGUUUCUAGUUAAUAGAAUAAUAUAGAUAAAGGAAGUUAGUAAAAUAGAUUUGUAAUUUCGGAAAAAGAAUUAGUUUUAAGGGUUAGGUACGUCGGGCUUUAGGUAAAUAUCCUAGGAGUAGAUUGCUACUAGUUAGGUAACUGGCUAGCGGCUUUCAAUAUUUGGGUAUAGAAGCCCUUAGUAGAUUUCAGUUAUCUAAUAUAUAUUUAAUAAUUAAUUUAGAAUUGGUACGGAUAGGGGGAAUUUAAUUAUUUAAUUAAAAUAUAGUAUUAUAAUAGUUAGAAAGUAGUAUUAAUGUAAUAUAAUUUUUAUUUAGUGUUUUAAAUAUUAAAGUAAAGAAAUUUAAUUAAGUGUGGGUAAAUAGCGGGAAUAAUUAUAAUUCUCUUAAAGUAGUUAAAUGCUUUAUUAUUUAAUUAGUAAUACGUAUAAAUAGAUUAAUGAAAUUCCUAUUGUCCCUAUCUAUUAUUUAGUAAAAUUAUAAUUAAGGGAACGGGCUUAGUAGAAUUAGCGGGGAAAGAAGACCUUAUUAAAUUUAAUUUUAGUUUAAUAUUAUAAAAAGAUAUAGGAGGUGUAGAAUAGGUGGGAGCUUCGGUGCUAGUAAAAUAUUACUACUUUUAUUGUUUUUUUAUUUAUUUAAUUAAGCGGGGUUGGAUUUUCGUCCAACUUCUAGUUUUAAGGUCCUUUACGGGCCGAUCCGGGUUGAAGAUAUUAUUAGGUAGGGAGUUUAGCUAGGGCGGUAUAUUUAUUAAAUUAUAAUAUAAGUAUUUUAAGGGGGGUUUAUAGAGAAUAGAAAUCUCUAGUAGAAUAAAAGGGUAAAAGUCCCUUUGAUUUUGAUUUUUAAUGUAAAUAUAAAUUAUAAAAGUAUAGCUUAUCGAUCCUUUAGUCCUUUGAAAUUUAAAAUUAAAGGUGCUAAAAAAGUUACUAUAGGGAUAAUUGGCUUAUAGCGGCUAAGCGUUUAUAGUAAUAUUGUUUUUUAAUUUUUUAAUAUCGGUUCUUCUUAUUAUAUUGAAGUAGAAUUCGGUAAGCGUUAGAUUAUUUACUUACUAAUAAGGAACGUAAGUUAGGUUUAGACUAUUAUAAGAUAGGUUAAUUUUAUUCUAUUAAUAACCUUAUUAUAAUAGUAAUUGAAUUUAGUACAAAAGGAAUUGCUUAUUUAAAUAAUUGGUUUUUAUAGUUAUUCAACCGGGUAGUACUACGAUACUACUAUUUGUUAAAUAAUAAUUAAAUGCUUUUAAAUUAAAAUUUAUAUUAGAAUAUAAUAAUACUUUUAGUAUAUUAUAGACGUAUAAAAAUAGGUUCCGGCCUUAUAUCUUAGUAGGCGAUUCCUCCAUUGGCUUUAAAGUGGCUAGCGGUAAUUUGCGUAUUGUAAUUUUA